GCCGUAGCUAACGCAUUAAGUGCCCCGCCUGGGGAGUACGGCCGCAAGGCUAAAACUCAAAGGAAUUGACGGGGGCCCGCACAAGCGGCGGAGCAUGCGGAUUAAUUCGAUGCAACGCGAAGAACCUUACCAAGGCUUGACAUGAACCGGAAAGACCUGGAAACAGGUGCCCCGCUUGCGGUCGGUUUACAGGUGGUGCAUGGUUGUCGUCAGCUCGUGUCGUGAGAUGUUGGGUUAAGUCCCGCAACGAGCGCAACCCUCGUUCUAUGUUGCCAGCGCGUUAUGGCGGGGACUCAUAGGAGACUGCCGGGGUCAACUCGGAGGAAGGUGGGGACGACGUCAAAUCAUCAUGCCCCUUAUGUCUUGGGCUUCACGCAUGCUACAAUGGCCGGUACAAAGGGUUGCGAUACUGUGAGGUGGAGCUAAUCCCAAAAAGCCGGUCUCAGUUCGGAUUGGGGUCUGCAACUCGACCCCAUGAAGUCGGAGUCGCUAGUAAUCGCAGAUCAGCAACGCUGCGGUGAAUACGUUCCCGGGCCUUGUACACACCGCCCGUCAAGUCACGAAAGUUGGUAACACCCGAAGCCGGUGGCCUAACCCUUGUGGGGGGAGCCGUCGAAGGUGGGACCGGCGAUUGGGACUAAGUCGUAACAAGGUAGCCGUACCGGAAGGUGCGGCUGGAUCACCUCCUUAAUCCCGCGGC
rnacentral:rRNA from 1 species